CUUGUCCCUAGAGGCAUUAUGGGUGUGGCUGCUUUGUCACAAGUGUGUCAGUAGGUGGCAGAGAGGAGAGAGGCUGCAUCUAUGCUCAGUGUUCUGACCUUUGUACACCCGAAUGAUUAGUAGCCUGAACUU